ACUCCUACGGGAGGCAGCAGCUAAGAAUAUUCCGCAAUGGACGAAAGUCUGACGGAGCGACGCCGCGUGGAUGAUGAAGGCCGAAAGGUUGUAAAGUCCUUUUGUUGGGGAAGAAUAACCAUGGGAGGUAAUGCCCGUGGGAUGACAUGAACCGACGAAUAAGCCCCGGCUAACUACGUGCCAGCAGCCGCGGUAAU
rnacentral:rRNA from 1 species